AUUGUUCUUCAACUGUAGUGUAUGGUAUACCAUUUUCUAGGUCUGAGUCUCUACUUUUUCCAAUGUAAAAAACAUGUAUCAAAUUGGAAUAUAGAUUAAUAAGACUGAAUCGACCCGGUAGGUCACGUUUGAGAGUGAGGCAGAUAUAUAGCAUUUUGCAAAAAAACAUGAUUUGUCUCUCUGAAAUGAACCAUCAAGUGAUAGAUUUUAAACAAAUACAUGUCUGUUAUUGCACAACCCCAUGCCAUGAUUAAAUAGUGAAAAAAUACACCAAUCUCUUUCACAAUUUCUUUAAACAAUAAAAUCUUAUUUACCAACAUUUCUGAACAGUGAUAAAUAGCGUAUUAGAAUUGAACUCUUAUGUUUUCCCAUCUGAGCUCAGAGUAGAUGAGAGAUGUAAUGUUUGUCUCUGUUGUGUUGAAGCCCAAUCAAGAGGAAGAGACCAGCCUCCCCUGUACCCAGCUGUGUGUCCAUGAAGAGUGACCAGUCUAUGGGUCAUCCUAUAACCUUUAGAGAGGGAGACUUUUCUACUGAACAAAGUGGUCCUGAUAUGCACGUCCUGAGGAAAAGGAACAAGAAGGAGCUUGCUGACACACUGGAGAAAUAUUCAGAUGAUCCUGCUGUGAUUUGCCAACGUGAACUCAAAUCUAAUCUAAAGAAGAAGUUUCAAUGUGUAUUUGAGGGGAUCGCUAAACAAGGAAACCCAACACUUCUCAAUAAGAUCUAC